rnacentral:rRNA from 1 species
UUAGACUAAGCUAGCUGUCUGCAACUCUCACAUUGUCGCUCACUGAAGCUAAGCAGGGCUGCGCCUGGUCAGUACCUGUAUGGGAGACCACAUGGAAAAACUAAGUUGUUGCCGGAA